UACGUAGGGGGCCAGCGUUGCUCGGAAUUACUGGGCGUAAAGGGUCCGUAGGCGGUGCGGAAAGUCGAUAGUGAAAUCUCUGGGCUUAACCCAGAGGCUGCUAACGAAACUGCCGUGCUAGAGUGUGAGAGAGGCGAGUGGAAUUACGGGUGUAGCGGUGAAAUGCGUAGAUAUCUGCAGGAACACCCGUGGCGAAAGCGGCGCGCUGGACCACUACUGACGCUGAGGAACGAAAGCUAGGGGAGCAAACAGG
rnacentral:rRNA from 1 species